rnacentral:rRNA from 1 species
GACGAACGCUGGCGGCGUGCUUAACACAUGCAAGUCGAACGGAAAGGCCUGCUUUCCCUUGUGGAUUGCGGGUACUCGAGUGGCGAACGGGUGAGUAACACGUGAGUGAUCUGCCCCCAACUUGGGUAUAAGCCUGGGAAACUGGGUCUAAUUCCCGAUAGGACUGCAGGGUGGUGCCUGUGGUGGAAAACGAUUUUCUAGUGGUUGGGGAUGAGCUCGCGGCCUAUCAGCUUGUUGGUGGGGGAAUGGCCUACCAAGGCGGCGACGGGUGGCCGGCCUGGGAGGGUGGACGGCCACAUUGGGACUGAGAUACGGCCCAGACUCCUACGGGAGGCAGCAGUGGGGAAUAUUGCACAAUGGGCGGAAGCCUGAUGCAGCGACGCCGCGUGGGGGAUGACGGCCUUCGGGUUGUAAACUCCUUUCGACCGCGAGGAAGCCACCUGGUUGGAAGGGUGGUGACGGUAGUGGUAGAAGAAGCACCGGCUAACUACGUG